rnacentral:SRP_RNA from 1 species
AAUUUUUAAUCUUAUAGCGUAUACUAACAUCUCGAGCGACUUGUCGUUUUGUGGCAAGAAAGCCGCUCUUCAUGUAGUGUUGAGAUCUGGGUCUUGCGCAAUGGGACCCGUGAACCUGGUCAGGGUAGGAAUACAGCAGCCAUAAGCGGUCAAUCUCAUGUGCCGCGAGGGUGCCUGGGUGGAGCUAUGUGAGGGUGGCUUUGUUGCCACAAAGAAAAGUC